UACGUAGGCAGCGAGCGUUGUUCGGAGUUACUGGGCGUAAAGAGUGCGUAGGCGGUUUUCUAAGUUUGGUGUGAAAUCUCCCGGCUUAACUGGGAGGGUGCGCCGAAAACUGGAAGGCUUGAGUAUGGGAGAGGUAAGCGGAAUUCCUGGUGUAGCGGUGAAAUGCGUAGAUAUCGUAAGGAAGACCAGUGGCGAAGGCGGGUCUCUGGACAGUUCCUGACGCUGAGGCACGAAGGCCAGGGGAGCAAACGGG
rnacentral:rRNA from 1 species